UGUCGUCAGCUCGUGUUGUGAAAUGUUGGGUUAAGUCCCGCAACGAGCGCAACCCUUAUCCUUUGUUGCCAGCGGUCCGGCCGGGAACUCAAAGGAGACUGCCAGUGAUAAACUGGAGGAAGGUGGGGAUGACGUCAAGUCAUCAUGGCCCUUACGACCAGGGCUACACACGUGCUACAAUGGCGCAUACAAAGAGAAGCGACCUCGCGAGAGCAAGCGGACCUCAUAAAGUGCGUCGUAGUCCGGAUUGGAGUCUGCAACUCGACUCCAUGAAGUCGGAAUCGCUAGUAAUCGUGGAUCAGAAUGCCACGGUGAAUACGUUCCCGGGCCUUGUACACACCGCCCGUCACACCAUGGGAGUGGGUUGCAAAAGAAGUAGGUAGCUUAACCUUCGGGAGGGCGCUUACCACUUUGUGAUUCAUGACUGGGGUGAAGUCGU
rnacentral:rRNA from 1 species